UGUGCAUUGGCUGACUGUGGUAUAAAAUCCCAGGUAUGACUGAGAAGUUUUGUUUAUGGACUAUUAGCGUAUAGUCGUAGCUCAUUGCUGUGGUGUUUGGUCCUGUCUGUGUUCUUUCCCCCGUCCCUCUUUGUUUUAUGCUGCCGGUGCCGACGGGACUGGACUGUGCGGGAGCUGAGAGCUGAGGAGCUGAUGUGCCAAGACGAUCCAUAGUGGAGGGACGUAAGAGUUUUGAGCUGCAGCGAGUGGGAGGAGCCUCCUGGUGCGUGCGAGAGUGCGCCCCGGCCUAUCGGCGAGCAGAGGAGGACGUGGGAACGUUCGGACUGAGUCUGCCAGUGAGCGGUUCACUCGGCGCAUAGGGGGGACUACUGGCCGCCAGCUAAGUGCAGGGAUGUGCAAUGGACAUUUAAAAUGGACAUGACUGUAUAAUUGUGGUGGUGGGUUGUUGGUUGAUUUUGGUUGUGUUUGGUAUUUACUGUUAUUUGAUUUUGGGGAUUCCAUGGGUUGGCUGUGGCAGGGCCAAUGGAUUCCCCCAUGUGAAGAUUUAAUUUUCUGUUCUGUCUGUAUUUUUUUUUUUUUUUGUGCGAUUUAGCCUCCCCGCAGGAGGUGGUCUGAGGGCUGCAGCAGGAAGCCGUAUGGGGAUUUGCUGUGCUGAUGUAGCUAGCCUUGUGGUGUUCUCUAUCUUGAGUGGCUUGUCUUGUGUACUGUGUAUUGUAGCCUAACCUUGUGGUGUGAUUUAUGCAACUGUUAUACUUUGUAGCUUACUUGAAUGCUGUGUAUUGUUCCUGGUGUUGUAAUUGCGUACUGCUGCAGUGUGGUGGGAAGAGACUGUGGGGAGGUUAUCUGUAAUAAAUAUUGAUAAUCUGCA